CGAUGAUACGCGAGGUACCUUACUGGCUUAAAUGUAGAGUGCAUUUUUUAGAGAUAGAAAUUCCCUUGGGCUUUCUGCAAGGUGCUGCAUGGUUGUCGUCAGCUCGUGCCGUGAGGUGUCGGGUUAAGUCCCAUAACGAGCGCAACCCUUAUCGUUAGUUGCCAUCUGGUAAUGCAGGGGACUCUAGCGAAACUGCCACCGUAAGGUGAGAGGAAGGUGGGAUGACGUCAAAUCAGCACGGCCCUUAUGUCCAGGGCUACACACGUGUUACAAUGGUCGGUACAGAGGGCAGCUACCUGGUGACAGGAUGCUAAUCUCGAAAACCGGUCUCAGUUCGGAUCGAAGUCUGCAACUCGACUACAUGAAGUUGGAAUCGCUAGUAAUGGCAGAUCAGCAUGCUGCCGUGAAUACGUUCCCGGGUCUU
rnacentral:rRNA from 1 species